rnacentral:tRNA from 3 species
AAAGCUUUAAGUUAAUGAAACUAUUAACCUUCAAAGUUAAAAAUAUAAUCUUUGUAAGCUUUA